GGGAAAAUUGCUCAGUGGUAGAGCACUUGCCUAGCAUGUUCGAGCCCUGGGUUCAAUUCCUAGUACCCA
rnacentral:tRNA from 1 species